GGGCGGUUAGCUCAACUGGUUAGAGCGCCGGCUUUACAAGCCGGAGGUUGUUGGUUCAAGUCCAGCACCGCCCA
rnacentral:tRNA from 1 species